rnacentral:misc_RNA from 1 species
GGAUGAGUCAUCAGAAAGUCGAAGGAGAAAAUCCAAGAAGAAAUGAGUUUCAAUGUUUGAUCAUCUAAUCGAAUGGACCCUACCCAAACUCCCCAGUUCUUUGUCUCUAUUCUCCAUAUGCUGCAUUUUUUAAAUGAGUAUUUUAACGUUUAAUAGUUAAUAGAAUAAUCGCCGUCCUUCGGUUGCUUGCGCUAGUGCCAAAGCCUUCUUGCAAUUUCCAAAAGCGAACAGCCAUGAGCCACCAAAAAGGCCACAAACAGAGAGAGACAUUUUGGAGGGGGUGAAAAGGGAAGCUUUGUGUCUAAACAAUUUGAUAAUUUCUGGGUUGGCUUUAGUUUUGACUGGAUUGGAUUCAGAUUGGUUUAGUUUUUGUUGGUUGGUUUUAAGGAAUUGGAUUGAUGGUUGAUUAUAUUCCAAAUCCUACCUUGACUUUUUGUAAGGAUGCAGCUGGAAUCGCCGGGAACAUCUUUGCUUUUGGACUGUUUGUGUCACCCAUACCCAUAUUCAGGAGAAUUAUCAGAAACAGAUCAACGGAGCAAUUCUCAGGGUUGCCAUAUAUAUACGCACUCUUGAACUGUUUGAUUUGCGUUUGGUAUGGCACACCCCUCAUAUCCAUUGAUAAUGUAAUGGUUAUGACAGUCAAUUCAAUUGGUGCAGUUUUUCAGUUGGCUUACAUAAUCCUCUUUAUAGUAUAUGCUGAGAAAGCCAUGAAGCUAAGGGUGUUCGGAUUGCUGUUGGCAGUUUUUGUCCUAUAUGCAAUCAUAGUUGCAGGGAGCUUGCAAAUUACUGAUCGAAACAUACGGUGGAUCUCUGUUGGGUUAUUGAGUUGUAUAUCUCUCAUAUCAAUGUUUGCUUCCCCAUUGUUUAUAAUUAAUUUGGUGAUCCGAACAAAGAGUGUUGAGUUUAUGCCAUUCUAUCUCUCUCUUUCCACUUUCUUGAUGAGCACCUCAUUCUUGCUGUAUGGGAUCUUGAAUUUUGAUGCCUUUGUAUAUGUAAGCUUCCUUUAGCACAUUUACUUGCAACCCCUUUCUUACUUUUGUCAAUCUUUUAACCUGUUGAUGUGCAAUUAAGGUGACCCUUAUUAUAUAACUUGAUUAGUCAAAUGCAUUCAGAAACCUCUGUAUUAUACUCAAAUGUUCAAUUGAACCUUUUAUUUUAUUCAAUUCAAUGCAGUUCUACUGUUAGAAGCAAAUCGGCCCAAUUUGUAAACAGUGUCUAAAUGUUUGUACUAGUUUAAAAAUAUAUUAUUGUGGAGUACUGGAGUCCAAAUUCUGUUCAUCUUAUUCACCUGUGGACAGGCUUUUACUAUACAGUUUGAUUACAAUUGAAUAUAGACCAUGCAAAUCUCUGCUUUUGUUUGUAUCUUGAUUUGCCAAAACCAAAUUAGUGAAAUUCCAUUUUCAAUCUUGAUUUACUGAUAUCAUCUCUGUCGCAAGACAAAGAAACAGUAGUUGCAAAAUAAAAAUCCUUCUUGCUAUUGUUGAAGUAUUGUUGAAGAUGACGG